rnacentral:misc_RNA from 1 species
AACGCAACUUGCGCCUCUUGGUAUUCCGAGAGGCAUGCCUGUUUGAGUGUCAUGAAUACCUCAAUCCCCCUGGGUUUUCCGCCCGGGGACGGUUGGAGAUGGGCGUCCUGCCGGUGUCGAGCCGGCUCGCCUCAAAGGUCUCAGUGGUGUCCUCGACCCCAUGCCUGACGUGAUAAGUUUCGUCUGGGCCGGGCCGGUGACGUCCGCUCACAACCCACCAUAUUCUGUGACUCUGACCUCAAAUCAGGUAGGGCUACCCGCUGAACUUAA